UGCCGCGGACCAGGCCGCCCAGUCGGGAGGAGAAGGACGCCUUGGCGGCCGCGGGCCCGCUAGCCGACUGGUUCUGCAAGAAGAGUCCCGGCAGCGCCGUCAGCGUCUUCUCCACAAUGUCGCUCAUCGCCGCCGCCGCCACCCGCGCUCCGCUCGCCGCCCGGCCUCAUGCCCAGGCCCUGCCCCGCCGCCUCCCCGGCCACCGUAGGCACUUCCUGUUUGUCUGAAAAAGAAAUCUUUAUUCGCGUUCUGCGCGGACAAGCACAGUGUCGUUCUAGAGAGACGCCGCGUGAGGGCGCGAGAGUCGGCAAGCGAAAGACAGCGCGCCAAGCCUGUGUGGACGUGGUCCUUCUGUGGAGGAGCAGAAGGGCCGGACGCUCCCGGUUUCGACGGCAACCCCUGCGUCCCGAGCUUCUCUGGGUCCUCCUGAGAUUCUUUCAUUGAUUCACAAGAGGGAGAUUAGAAGACCUGCUUUCUCAAUCUCCCACAUCUAAAGAUGCUGAAAAAUAUGAUAUUGACAUCAAUAUCAGAGGAUUCUGACUCAGGCCUAACAUGCUUAUCAUCCGGCACAAAGAGGUCACUUAGAUUGAUGGAAUCAAUGCAUGCAUGGGCUUGAUCUGACCUUAUUCACCACUCCUACUGUCCUGUAAAUAUUUGGGGUGGCCUGGAAAAGGGGCCAUAAGGACUUGGAUCAUGAACAACCAACAGUGGUAGCUAAUGUGGUCUGAAGAACAGAGAGCCCAUCUCAGAAUAUUAUGGAAUGUGUAGGACCCUGGGAUGGUAUAGAAACCCCUAAUAAAUUGUCUUCCCCCUAAAGUAAACAUGACAAAUCCUGAAUUUCUCAUCUCCCUUGACCUAGGUGGCUCAGAGCCAAAUUUAACUUCAUUUAGAACAAAAUAGGGGCAUGGAUUUUUCUCUAUCUUGUUCACUGCUUUAUCCCUAGCACCUAGAACAGUGCCAAUACACUUUGUUGAAUGAAUGGAUUCUUGCUUCGAGUGCCAAGGACCAAACUCCCACCUGCCACAUUGUGUAAAGCUCCUGGUUUUGUGCUGUCACAUAUUAGGUGUCAGUGUCAGGCACUCAUUUUUGCCAAAUGCCAUAUAAUACAUCUUUGUAUCUAAUGUGUCAGAUGAGCCUAGAAUACCUGUUUAUUUAUUAAAUUGUUUUAGCACCUUUAGCACUGUCUGUUAUGCACAGUCAACUAAGUACUUCACCUGCCAGUUUUCCUCACUCCCUUCCUAAGUCCUAAUCCCACUUUUCUGAUGGAGCCCCUAUCAUAAAUCCAGAGUUUCUUUGGCCCUGUAUGUGAAACCAAUUCUGUUUCAGAGACCACAGCCUUAGGGCUCUAGAUCCUUCUCCAUCUAUAUGCAACUUUUCCGCCCUUCAUAGUAUAGUUCUGUUCCUUGGUUGUGCCCACAUUUAACAUAGUACCUGCCUUCUCUCCCAUCCUAGAUACAAUCCCAAAGUUAGAAAUUCCCUUACCAACACCACCAGGUAUCCACACGAGAGAUGCUCUUUGAUCUCUGGGCCAGAAAGUGAUGCUUCUACUGUCACCCUUCAGGGCAAUUUAUUUAGGGAAGAGUUGUAGAAAGGGCAAGUCCAUCUAAAAGCAACCUUCUUUCUUGGCACUGAGGACUGAAGGGUAUUGUUUUAAAGCCUUCUGUAACGCUCCAUGUACCUCUGUGUUUCUCAGCUUCUGCCAUCUAUAGAGAAUACACCUGUUCUCAGAGGACUGAAAAACCACAUGGUCUCCACCCUGUUGUUGGGAUAUAGUCGCAAUCGUGGCUAGAAUUUUAUUAGUCUGAGUUUGACCUUUUUCUGUGUGUAUUCACUAGCUUAGCGAUUUAACUACUCUGAAACUCUAUUAGUACCAAGCUCAGUAAGCUCCUAAUUUGUACACUGGAGGCUCCUUGCAAGCAAGAACUGUGCCUUUUGGUUCUGUAUCCCCAGCACUUAGUACCCCGCCUGGUAUGUAGUACUGUUCAGUGAAAUCCCUCCUAGGGAUAGAUUCUGUCAAGAACUGUAAAGAGUCUAAGUUUUACCCUACUUGCAAGUUAACAAGUUAGCCUGUCAUAGUUUCAUGGAUGCUGGUAAAAGACAUGAGACUCCUGUGUCAGAGUCAAAAAUGGUUUAUUACUCAUAGCAAUAGUAGUAGCUAGAGUAUCUGCCUUUUUAAAGUCAGUUCCCCAAGACCUAGUUUCCAUAGGGCAAUGGGAAUAGGGCCAGUUAACACCUGUACAUGAAGAACUCUGAGCUUAGG